GGGCGGGAGUGGCGAGUGGGCUCGGGAAUACGUAUGGCGGAAGAGUUGGCCGGAAGUAGUGGGGGUAAGGGGCGUGGGGGUGGCUGGUGGGGUCAGCCGGGAAAACCCGAGGCGCAACCGCGGGCGUGCGGUGGGUACGGGAAGGCUAGAGUGUGGGAGGGGAGACUGGAACUCCUGGUGUAGCGGUGAAAUGCGCAGAUAUCAGGAAGAACACCGAGGGCGAAGGAAGGUCUCUGGGCCAUUACUGACACUGAGAAGCGAAAGCAUGGGUAGCGAACAGGAUUAGAUACCCGGGUAGUC
rnacentral:rRNA from 1 species